GGCUCCGUAGCUCAGGGGUUAGAGCACUGGUCUCGUAAACCAGGGGUCGUGAGUUCGAAUCUCACUGGAGCCU
rfam:Loxodonta africana unplaced genomic scaffold scaffold_108, whole genome shotgun sequence.